UGUUGUUGUUGCUAUUUAUGCUGCUGCUGCUGCUGCUGCUGCUGCUGUUGCUGCUGCUGCUGCUCGUAGACGUGAGCCAGCUGGCUGAGGGCGGGGUA